CUACGGGGGGCAGCAGUGAGGAAUAUUGCGCAAUGGGCGAAAGCCUGACGCAGCAACGCCGCGUGGGGGAUGAAGCUUUAUGGAGUGUAAACCCCUGUAAGUAGGGACGAACGGUAUAUAUUCAAACAGGAUAUAUAAUUGACGGUACCUACAGAGUAAGCUCCGGCUAACUCCGUGCCAGCAGCCGCGGUAAUACGGGGGGAGCAAGCGUUGUCCGGAAUUACUGGGCGUAAAGGGCGUGUAGGCGGUAUUGUAAGUCAGAUGUAAAAGGUCGCGGCUUAACCGUGGAUGGUCAUUUGAUACUGCAGUACUUGAGUGCGAGAGAGGGUAGUAGAAUUCCCAGUGUAGCGGUGAAAUGCGUAGAUAUUGGGAAGAACACCAGUAGCGAAGGCGGCUACCUGGCUCGUAACUGACGCUAAUGCGCGAAAGCGUGGGGAGCGAACAGGAUUAGAUACCCCAGUAGUC
rnacentral:rRNA from 1 species